GAGCUCCCUUUAUCCAGCUGGUAAGAACCACGGGAGUAUUUGAGCCAAGACCAUCUGCGUAAAGUUUGUGGGUGUACAAAACGUAAGGGCGCUCCUGUCAUUAAGAAUAGCGCCUUACACUGGACAAUGUUGAACUAUUUUGGUAGACACAUAUAAAAAAAUGAUAAGGAGUGCAAUGUGAAAGUCAGAAAGUCGGGUUUUCUUUCAGUGCCCCGGCUGUUUGCUUAAAUAUGGAUAAAGGCGCAUUAAUAUGUGCUUAAAAUAUUCAUUAAAAAUUUCGCCACCGCAAUAUUUAUUAAUAAUGAGACAAUUUUAUGAGACGUAUUACUUAAUUUGUGGUAUACCUUAACUUGAAUUGCAUUUUAUCAAAAAAUCUUAGUCUGCACACUCUGGUGGCCUGCAGAUUGACUGGAUAAGAGUGUUCCACAAAAGUACUGCAAUCAAGAGCUAUUUAUCGCCGUCUCUAAUUUUACCGACGUCAAAAUUUCAACAGCCUCCCACUGACAAACAAGCCCCCUUCCAUGCAUAGUGGUAUGCAGCUCGUAAAAACAUCGCAUCCUCAGGCGGCCCGGAAUGUGUGCGGCUUGCUCUAAAUCUAAAAAAAGUCCCGCCAAAGCCACUGCAGCUGUUGCUUGUGGGUGAAAGUGAAAACUUGAGGCACAUGUCGUUCGGCCGGAAGCGCAUGAAAAUCGAAAUAAAAUCCCAUCUACGUUUUUUAUGAGUUCCUAAAUUAUUUGAUCUCAGGACCAUUUAUGCAAAAACAUAACAUUCAAAUUUGUCCAUCAAAAAUUAUACUUUAAUUAUGAUUGAUUAUAAUUGAUACAUAAAUGUUAUACUAUAACAACAGUAAAUUAAAGUUUUUACAUUUAAUUUUUUUUUAAGUUUUUCUUUUUGAAAUUCUGAUCACUCGUUUAGUCCAAAUCGUGGCUAUCAUGGAAGUACAGUUUUCUUACGUUACUUUACAACUUUGUUGUACAGUUUUUGAAUUUUUUUUUCUACAUAAAAAAUGUUGGUAGGAAACCAUAAAAUAGACGGCCAGACCAUGGAGGAAACAAUUUGGUUUUUCUAAAAAAUAGACAACAAACGGUACAACACAAUUUUUUUUUAAAUAAUAAUUGAAUAUCGUAAAUAAAAAUCGAACAGCUAUGACAUGCCGAAGUUUAUAUGGGUGUACAUAUAUCCUAACAAUUAUUCCAGUCAAUUUCGAGUUUAUAUCAGUUGCAUAUUGCACCUAGUUUCCUAAACUUUUAUAUGAAAAAAGCUAUGUUAUUUUCAGUAAGUAAAUGCAGAAAUUCUUAUUUUACAUUUAAUUUAAAUUUUAAAAAAACAAUUCACUUUUUCGUGUCCAGUUCCGGUCACUAUCGUGGCUAUCAUGGAAGUACAGUUUUCUUACGUUACUUUACAACUUUGUUGUACAGUUUUUGAAUUUUUUUUUCUACAUAAAAAAUGUUGGUAGGAAACCAUAAAA